rnacentral:rRNA from 1 species
UACAGAGGGUGCAAGCGGUUAAUCGGAAUUACUGGGCGUAAAGCGUGCGUAGUCGGUUAUUUAAGUCGGAUGUGAAAUCCCCGGGCUCAACCUGGGAAAUUGCAUUCGAUACUGGAUAGCUAGAGUUCGGCAGAGGGAAGCGGGAAUUUCUGGUGUAGCGGUGAAAUGCGUAGAUAUCAGAAGGAACAUCAGUGGCGAAAGCGGCUUCCUGGACCAGAACUGACGAUCAAGGCACGAAAGCGUGGGGAGCAAACAGG